rnacentral:rRNA from 1 species
GUUGUAUGGUUAAGUGACUAAGCGUACACGGUGGAUGCCUUGGCAGUCAGAGGCGAUGAAAGACGUAGUAACUUGCGAUAAGCCCAGAUUAGGUAGUAACAACCAUUUGAGUCUGGGAUUUCUGAAUGGGGAAACCCACUUACAUAAGUAAGUAUCAUUAACUGAAUACAUAGGUUAAUGAGGCGAACCGGGGGAACUGAAACAUCUAAGUACCCCGAGGAAAAGAAAUCAACCGAGAUUCCGAAAGUAGCGGCGAGCGAAAUUGGACUAGCCCUUAAGCUUUACACGCGUUAGACGAACGGUCUGGAAAGUCCGACGAUACAGGGUGAUAGUCCCGUAGUUGACGACGUGUGUUCAGUGAAAUCGAGUAGGGCGGGACACGUGAUAUCCUGUCUGAAUAUGGGGGGACCAUCCUCCAAGGCUAAAUACUACUGACUGACCGAUAGUGAACCAGUACCGUGAGGGAAAGGCGAAAAGAACCCCUGUGAGGGGAGUGAAAUAGAACCUGAAACCGUGUACGUACAAGCAGUAGGAGCAGGCUUUGUCCUGUGACUGCGUACCUUUUGUAUAAUGGGUCAGCGACUUAUAUUCAGUGGCAAGGUUAACCAUCUAGGGGAGCCGUAGGGAAACCGAGUCUUAACUGGGCGUUCAGUCUCUGGAUAUAGACCCGAAACCAGGUGAUCUAGCCAUGGGCAGGUUGAAGGUUGAGUAACAUCAACUGGAGGACCGAACCGACUAAUGUUGAAAAAUUAGCGGAUGACUUGUGGCUAGGGGUGAAAGGCCAAUCAAACCUGGAGAUAGCUGGUUCUCCCCGAAAGCUAUUUAGGUAGCGCCUCGGACGAAUACUACUGGGGGUAGAGCACUGUUAAGGCUAGGGGGUCAUCCCGACUUACCAACCCUUUGCAAACUCCGAAUACCAGUAAGUACUAUCCGGGAGACACACGGCGGGUGCUAACGUCCGUCGUGGAGAGGGAAACAACCCAGACCGCCAGCUAAGGUCCCAAAUUACUACUAAGUGGGAAACGAUGUGGGAAGGCUCAGACAGCCAGGAUGUUGGCUUAGAAGCAGCCAUCAUUUAAAGAAAGCGUAAUAGCUCACUGGUCGAGUCGGCCUGCGCGGAAGAUGUAACGGGGCUAAGUAGUAAACCGAAGCUGCGGCAAUAUACUUUUGUAUAUUGGGUAGGGGAGCGUUCUGUAAGCGGUUGAAGGUGUGUGGUAACGCAUGCUGGACGUAUCAGAAGUGCGAAUGCUGACAUGAGUAACGAUAAAGGGGGUGAAAAACCUCCUCGCCGGAAGACCAAGGGUUCCUGUCCAACGUUAAUCGGGGCAGGGUAAGUCGACCCCUAAGGCGAGGCCGAAAGGCGUAGUCGAUGGGAAACGGGUUAAUAUUCCCGUACUUCUUACAAUUGCGAUGGGGGGACGGAGAAGGCUAGGUGGGCCUGGCGACGGUUGUCCAGGUUCAAGUGCGUAGGCUUAAGAGUUAGGUAAAUCCGGCUCUUUUUAAGGCUGAGACACGACGUCGAGCACCUACGGGUGUGAAGUCAUUGAUGCCAUGCUUCCAGGAAAAGCCUCUAAGCUUCAGAUUGUAAGGAAUCGUACCCCAAACCGACACAGGUGGUCGGGUAGAGAAUACCAAGGCGCUUGAGAGAACUCGGGUGAAGGAACUAGGCAAAAUGGUACCGUAACUUCGGGAGAAGGUACGCUCUUGAUGGUGAAGUCCCUUGCGGAUGGAGCUGACGAGAGUCGCAGAUACCAGGUGGCUGCAACUGUUUAUUAAAAACACAGCACUGUGCAAAAUCGUAAGAUGACGUAUACGGUGUGACGCCUGCCCGGUGCCGGAAGGUUAAUUGAUGGGGUUAGACUUCGGUCGAAGCUCUUGAUCGAAGCCCCGGUAAACGGCGGCCGUAACUAUAACGGUCCUAAGGUAGCGAAAUUCCUUGUCGGGUAAGUUCCGACCUGCACGAAUGGCGUAAUGAUGGCCACGCUGUCUCCACCCGAGACUCAGUGAAAUUGAAAUCGCUGUGAAGAUGCAGUGUACCCGCGGCUAGACGGAAAGACCCCGUGAACCUUUACUACAGCUUGGCACUGAACAUUGACCCUACAUGUGUAGGAUAGGUGGGAGGCUUUGAAGCACGUACGCCAGUAUGUGUGGAGCCGUCCUUGAAAUACCACCCUUGUAGUGUUGAUGUUCUAACGUCGACCCCUAAUCGGGGUUGCGGACAGUGCCUGGUGGGUAGUUUGACUGGGGCGGUCUCCUCCCAAAGAGUAACGGAGGAGCACGAAGGUGGGCUAAUCACGGUUGGACAUCGUGAGGUUAGUGCAAUGGCAUAAGCCCGCUUGACUGCGAGAAUGACAAUUCGAGCAGGUGCGAAAGCAGGUCAUAGUGAUCCGGUGGUUCUGAAUGGAAGGGCCAUCGCUCAACGGAUAAAAGGUACUCCGGGGAUAACAGGCUGAUACCGCCCAAGAGUUCAUAUCGACGGCGGUGUUUGGCACCUCGAUGUCGGCUCAUCACAUCCUGGGGCUGAAGUCGGUCCCAAGGGUAUGGCUGUUCGCCAUUUAAAGUGGUACGCGAGCUGGGUUUAGAACGUCGUGAGA